UGCCAGCAGCCGCGGUAAUACGGAGAAGACGAUCGUGAUUCGGAAUCAUUAAACGUAAAAAACGCGUAGGCGGCUUGACAAGUCAGUGGUGAAAUCCCUCGGCUCAACCGAGGAACUGCCUCUGAAACUGUCUCGCUUGAGGCCGGGAGAGGGUGGUGGAAUUCCCAGUGUAGCGGUGAAAUGCGUAGAUAUUGGGAGGAACACCGAUAACGAAGGCGGCCACAUGGACCGGUUAGGAAGCGGAGGCGAGCACGUGUGAGGCGCAAACAGGAGUAGAUC
rnacentral:rRNA from 1 species